rnacentral:misc_RNA from 1 species
GUUUCGUCUCCAAUCCGACAAUCGCCGCCUUCUCAGUUCCUACUUCCUACAUAUUUGCAUGUGACUCAUCCAAAUCUAUGUGUGUUUCAGAGAGCAGUUUCUACUCACAUAUAUAGUUGGCUGCAUUUUACGAGGUACUGUUCUUUACACAUUGUUGGUUAAUUAAUUACUGCUUAAUUAUGGGUUCUUAAUUCUGCCCCUUUUUCUAGUGUAGCUAAGUAAUUUUCUUGCCAUUUAUAGUAGAGAGUUUGAUUUGGUAUGGUUUGAUUUUCUUGUGGCUUGUAAAAGCAGAAUUAGUACUUAAAAUGAUAUGGUUUAAUUGUUCUUUUCUUUUUAUUUGCUGUGGCUAAUUUUAUUUCUGGGUUGGGAUUUAAUUAAUUAAAAUGUAUUCUAGUAACUAUUCAACGUUUUAUAAGCAGAUCAAUGAUGGGACUUAAAUGGUAAAUGGAGAGGGGGAAAGCAGAAAAGAAAAGAGAGCAGUAGAAUUAGGGGAUUGGGGGAUGAUCAAACCCUAAUUCUUUAUUUUGUGUUGUUACUCUAUUUUACUAGCUGUUUGGACUAUUUUCCCCCUUUUGGAGAAAUGAAGGCAGAAUUUUUUUUACCCUAAUGUUGUGGAGGUUGGAAGAAUGCUCCUAAAUGGAGCAUUAAUUUGAUAGAAAAGGAGAAGGAAAGAAAUUUUCGUACCAUCGCUGAGGAAGAUCUUAAAAAAUGUGAAAACAUAAUGGUCUGCUAAUUUAUGUGGGAGUCAAUUUAAUCAUUGAUUAUUUAAUGGGCACAUUAAGAUUCAUACAUGAUCAUCAGUGGUGUUUAUACUGUCCACAUUAUUAUUAUUUUUUUAUUAUGGGAUUCAGAUUAUUAUGAAUAUAUGUUUUUAGGUGUCAGUAUGAUAAAAGUGCAUUAUCUUCGGUCACCAGUUCCCAGGUCUUAUAAGAGUUAAAAGAUAAAGUUGGGCAGAAUAUAUAACUGCUAGGUUUUAUCUAUUUGGAUAUAUGUUGGUGAAAAGGCAAAUAUAUCAUGGCAUAUCAUGCAAAUGACGUCAUCGACAAUGAGUUUCAUCACUCUAAUGUUUAAAUGUAAAAAGGGUUUCAUAUGAUGAUUAUUAGAUUCCAUGUGACAUCUUAUAAACUUACAGAUCAAUUUUAUUUGUUAGAACAUUUGUAUGGCAUGGUGUUUUACAUGUAUUGCAAAUCAUAUUUUGUUUGUUCUCCAACCAGAUAGUUGAGGUGUUGGACUGAUGGAAUAAUAAGCAACUGAAUGAUGCAUGGACAAUAAAGCUAUCUUGCAGUCAUAUUACAAAUUAUUUCUUUCCAUCAAAUCAAAAUUCAUGUGCAGAGUUAUGAUUUAAAUGCCCUCUCUAUAUAAUUUUAUUCCUGCAGUUUAUAUACUUAGGAAACAAAAUGGAGAACAGGCGAAAUGUGAAUGCAAUUGGAACACAAGAUAGUAUUAUUAUGAAGUCUUUGGAACAAAAAGAGCGGUUGAGGAGCCGUAACGAUAUUAUGACUCGUCGUCUAAAGAACCGAGAACGACAACGUAGAUACAGGGCCCGGAAACGCCUUGAAGCAGAUAUGAAAAAGUCUUCUGUCACAAACCAUUCAACUACACCACAAGGAGAUUUGGAAAUUAAUGAAAAUCAUAACAAUUACAUUACCCAUGUUCAUUGUAAACGAAAUUGGAAAAAAGAUGCAAGAAGAGCUCAUGCAUGUAAAAAUCUACCAGAAGUGCCUAGUGCAGCUGUUGUUUCUGGUCUGACCUUAAGUACUGAAAGUCAGACACAGUCUGCCCUUGAAGUAGCAAUAGAACCACCGCUAGAGAGGAAAAGCCAUUCAGAGAAUUUACUUAGCUUGCAAAGUAGUGAAACAAAAACCAAUCUUGGUAGAAGAGAUUGGAAGGCUGAAGCAAGAAGAAAGAAAAACUAAAUUGGUUAUUACCAGUUUGGAUGAAUGAAUACAGGUUGUGAAAUUGAUUGCUGGAUACAGGUUGUGAAAAAUAUUGAAGUUCUACUGGUGAUAAAAGUUGAUGCUGAUGUGGUAGUUCAAAUGUUGUGAUGUGGUGUAGGAAGUCUUAUUAUCUUUAUUCUUUGGUAACCUUUUUACAGCUUCUGCUGUUGCAGAUCUAGAAGGGAAUCACAGAAGUAUAGCCAGCAAGUUAACAGUUUGAUUUCCAACAGUUUUAAUUGCUGUAAGAAUGUUGAUAUUGGAAGAUGAUCUUAGGCUUGACACCUGCUCAUUUGUUAGGGUCAUGUCAGUGAUGUGGAAUAAUUUUAAAAUGUGAUAUUAAUGUAAGAUUAUUGCACAUAGAAUCUUUCCUACCAUACUUCAGGCAUUCAUGGCUAGAAUCUUUCCUACCAUAUAUACUUCAGGCAUUCAUGGCUAAUUAAAUGUGAAACUUUGCUUACAUAAAAGUAUUGCUUUCUUUAUUUUGGGUUUUUUGCACAGAUUUUACUGCAUAUCUUUCUAGCUGGGAAAAGGAUAUGAUUCUUCUAUUUCAAGUCUUCUUUCUUUCUUUCUUCUUUUCCUUCUUUUUUCCCCCUUUUAUUUUUGAGGUGCUAUUUCAAGUCAUAUUCUGAACAUAUUAAUACAAUAAUAAUUCUUCUUCAAAUUUUGAUGCUAUGAGCUUAUGAUUUAGAAGGUUUUGGGCAUUCUUUUGAAACUUUGGUAUCACGAACUGUCCAUUAUAUGGUCUUACCUAAUUGUGUGGCCUGAUUUUUUACUUUUUCUUCCAAUGUAGAGAAUUAAUAAUGUAAUGCCGCCACAUCUUACACCGUUUGCUCUCUGUUAUAGUUUCAAAAUUCUUAUUCUCUUACUAGUAGCACUCCAGGAAGAUGGGGAAGAGUAAAGAUGUCCAACCCUGCAUAGAACAUACUGUUAUUUUUUGGGUUUUGUAGGUGGAAGAUAGUGGAACCGAGUAGAGUUCUUUUUGGCCAUUCCGUAAACAAUGGUUGAGAUAAGAUAAUUACUUCCAACAUUGGUAACAGUGCACACCUUGAGCCUAAUAUUGGUAAUUCUAUUGGAAGUAUAGCUGCUGUAUACAAGACAUCUGUCAUUAUCAACUUUAGUUAAACUUGUGCUUACCUGCAUGUGUAUGAUGUUAGGAAACGAACCAAUGAGGUUCGUCGUACAUAAACUUUUGCGUUUGUGUUAAUGCAGCUGCUGAUGGUUAUGUUACUGGUAUUUGACUUUGUUGCUUCUACCGGUAAUAUAGUUUAUAAUUACUAAAUAAGCAUUCAACAUCCAGAAAAGCUGGAUUAAGCUAUUCUGUAAAUAGAGUUCCUUAAUUUUUGUGCGUACUGUUACAAAUUCUUGUGAUGGUGUCAAGAAGCGAAAUCUUUG